rnacentral:rRNA from 1 species
UACGUAGGGUGCGAGCGUUAAUCGGAAUUACUGGGCGUAAAGCGUGCGCAGGCGGUUUGGUAAGGCAGGCGUGAAAUCCCCGGGCUUAACCUGGGAACUGCGUUUGUGACUGCCAGGCUAGAGUACGGCAGAGGGGGGUGGAAUUCCACGUGUAGCAGUGAAAUGCGUAGAGAUGUGGAGGAACACCAAUGGCGAAGGCAGCCCCCUGGGUCGAUACUGACGCUCAUGCACGAAAGCGUGGGUAGCAAACAGG